rnacentral:rRNA from 1 species
UACGUAGGGUGCAAGCGUUUGUCCGGAAUUAUUGGGCGUAAAGAGCUCGUAGGCGGUUUGUCGCGUCUGCUGUGAAAACUCGGGGCUUAACCCCGGGCCUGCAGUGGGUACGGGCAGACUAGAGUGCGGUAGGGGAGACUGGAAUUCCUGGUGUAGCGGUGAAAUGCGCAGAUAUCAGGAGGAACACCGAUGGCGAAGGCAGGUCUCUGGGCAUUAACUGACGCUGAGGAGCGAAAGCAUGGGGGAGCGAACAGG